rnacentral:rRNA from 1 species
CGGGAAGAGCUCAAAUUUGAAAUCUGGCGGUCUACGGCCGUCCGAGUUGUAGUCUAGAGAAGCGUCUUCCGUGCCGGACCGUGUACAAGUCCCUUGGAAUGGGGCGUCAUAGAGGGUGAGAAUCCCGUAUGUGACUGGGUGCCUUCGCCUAUGUGAAGCUCUUUCGAC